UUCCCUUUUUUUCUGAAAAAAAACUCUCUUCAUCUUUCUCACGAUGAGCAACAACAAUGGCAGCCCCUUCCCCUCUCGGUUUCACUCUCUUCGCUUUUGAACAACAACAAAACCUCUCUCUCGGUUUGCUCUCAAACUCGCGGUUCUCACUCGGUUUAAACGGCAAGAAGCUCAUGGUUCUCUUGCUCAGUGAGUGACAGUGAUUUGGUUUUCCUCUCUUGAUCGCUCUCUAUCUCUCACUCGCGGCCAUGGAAGAAGCUUGAAGAACCCAGGUAUGUUUCUUUCCAAAUUUCGUUUUUUUUUGUUUUCUUCUUAAUGAUAACUCAGUAAUUGAUCAUUCAUCUUUCUCGGUUGCUCACUGUGAACAAACAACAACAACACCCUCUCGAUAUCACUCUCGGCUUUCUCUGAGUUAUGAACAACCUCAACAAACAGAAUUUUCAAAUUAUUAGUAAUAUUGAGAGUGAAGGUGGAGAUGACUUACCUGCGGCUAAAAGAUCUUUUGCCUUAUUCGUCGAGUUAUGCACAAGAAUAACAUAUUUGUAGUAAUGAUUAAACAAUAAUAUUGAGCAUGAGGAUGAAUACAACUUACCUACGGCGAGGAGGUGUUCGCCGGUUUAUUGUUGAGGCUUUUGAUGAAGGUGAUGCCAUAACACCUCUUUGGAUAUUAGGGAGACUUGAAGAUGAUCUUCAAGUGGAAACCUUCCACCAAGGUAUGAACUAUUUCUUCACCCUUUUUCAAACUAUGGAACUUUGAAAAUUAUGAAAAGAGAGAAGUGAGAAAGCUAGUAGUAUAGUAGCUUUGGUGUGAUUUGCAAUGAAGUGAGGCCUUCUAUUUAUAGGAAAAGUUAAGGGUGUGUUUGGCAAUUGGUAAUCUUGAUUGGCAAGUUUCAAUCAUUGCAAGAUAAGAAAAAGAAUAUAUUCUUCAUCAUUGCAAGAAUAAAAAAUAAGAAUAAGAAUAUUCUUAUGCAAAGAUAUUUUUCAUGAUAUAAGCCAUGUGUGUAAAUUUUUAUGUCAUUUUAUGAUAUCUCUAAGUUGCAUAAUUUUAUGACAUAAAAAUCUCUCUUUGGCUUUUUUUGACUUUUGCUAAU